UCUAACUGAUAUUCCAAGAAGUGGAAUGACGGGGUAACGCCCUGAAACGCUUCCCUUGAUACUGCGUUGGAGGAAACGGGACGUAUUUCCCGCAACUGACACAGCACGCUGAAGUCGGCUGUCUGCACCUGCGACUGUCCCCUUUGGGAUAAAGCAAAACCGAGCCAGAGGUGGCCGGGGGUGUUAGGCCGGAGGUCUAUAAA
rnacentral:ncRNA from 1 species